GCCUGAUGCAGCGACGCCGCGUGAGGGAUGACGGCCUUCGGGUUGUAAACCUCUUUCAGUAGGGAAGAAGCGAGAGUGACGGUACCUGCAGAAGAAGCGCCGGCUAACUACGUGCCAGCAGCCGCGGUAAUACGUAGGGCGCAAGCGUUAUCCGGAAUUAUUGGGCGUAAAGAGCUCGUAGGCGGUUUGUCGCGUCUGCCGUGAAAGUCCGGGGCUCAACUCCGGAUCUGCGGUGGGUACGGGCAGACUAGAGUGAUGUAGGGGAGACUGGAAUUCCUGGUGUAGCGGUGAAAUGCGCAGAUAUCAGGAGGAACACCGAUGGCGAAGGCAGGUCUCUGGGCAUUAACUGACGCUGAGGAGCGAAAGCAUGGGGAGCGAACAGGAUUAGAUACCCUGGUAGUCCAUGCCGUAAACGUUGGGCACUAGGUGUGGGGGACAUUCCACGUUUUCCGCGCCGUAGCUAACGCAUUAAGUGCCCCGCCUGGGGAGUACGGCCGCAAGGCUAAAACUCAAAGGAAUUGACGGGGGCCCGCACAAGCGGCGGAGCAUGCGGAUUAAUUCGAUGCAACGCGAAGAACCUUACCAAGGCUUGACAUGAACCGGACCGCUGCAGAAAUGUGGUUUCCCCUUUGGGG
rnacentral:rRNA from 1 species